rnacentral:rRNA from 1 species
ACGAACGCUGGCGGCGUGCUUAACACCUGCAAGUCGAACGGAAAGGCCCUGCUUGCAGGGUACUCGAGUGGCGAACGGGUGAGUAACACGUGGGUGAUCUGCCCUGCACUUCGGGAUAAGCCUGGGAAACUGGGUCUAAUACCGGAUAGGAGCCAUUUUUAGUGUGAUGGUUGGAAAGUUUUUUCGGUGUAGGAUGAGCUCGCGGCCUAUCAGCUUGUUGGUGGGGUAAUGGCCUACCAAGGCGGCGACGGGUAGCCGGCCUGAGAGGGUGGACGGCCACAUUGGGACUGAGAUACGGCCCAGACUCCUACGGGAGGCAGCAGUGGGGAAGAUUGCACAAUGGGCGCAAGCCUGAUGCAGCGACGCCGCGUGGGGGAUGACGGCCUUCGGGUUGUAAACUCCUUUCGCUAGGGACGAAGCUUUUUGUGACGGUACCUAGAUAAGAAGCACCGGCUAACUACGUG